UUGGAGGGCAAGUCUGGUGCCAGCAGCCGCGGUAAUUCCAGCUCCAAUAGCGUAUAUUAAAGUUGUUGCAGUUAAAAAGUUCGUAGUUGAAUUUCGGGAUCAAUGUUUCGGUCAUGCCGUUGGUAUGUACUGAUAUUAUUGGUUUCUCACCUUCUAAAGAACCGUAAUGCCAUUAAUUUGGUGUCACGGGGAAUUAGGACUGUUACCUUGAAAAAAUUAGAGUGUUUAAAGCAGGCUCACGCUUGAAUACAUUAGCAUGGAAUAAUGAAAUAGGACAUCCGAUUCUAUUUUGUUGGUUUCUAGGAUCGAUGUAAUGAUUAAUAGGGAUAGUUGGGGGCAUUAGUAUUCAAUUGUCAGAGGUGAAAUUCUUGGAUUUAUUGAAGACUAACUACUGCGAAAGCAUUUGCCAAGGAUGUUUUCAUUAAUCAAGAACGAAAGUUAGGGGAUCGAAGACGAUCAGAUACCGUCGUAGUCUUAACCAUAAACUAUGCCGACUAGGGAUCGGAUGAUGUUAAUUUUUUAAUGACUCAUUCGGCGCCUUACGGGAAAC
rnacentral:rRNA from 1 species